AAAAUUCAAGCUUUGUUAAAAAAGCAUUACAUUCCUUGCAAACAAAAUCAGACGUUCAAAAUACUUUCAGCUCCUCUGGACAUCAAAAGGAGGAAGGAUCAACAAGUCUCUGGCUUUGUCCUUAUUUAACAAUAUUAAGAAAAACAACAUAGUCAUGAUAAAUAACAGCCUUUACAUCGUUUUGUUUCUCUGGAGACUGAUCCUGAUCUUACCUAUCUGAUUUCAUGCACAUGAAUAUUCCCUUUGAUUAAGGUACAUCAGCUCCUGGAAAGCUCAUGUUAAUCAAUGUAGCUGAUGCAAGAACUCCAAGCUUACUGCCUGGUAGUGUCCCAAGGAACAGGAGACAAGGCAGAAAACUUCCUCUGAACUCUGUGUGUGUUGGGACCCAGCUCUUAAGUGUCCUGCUUUAUCCCACUUCAGCAUCGCCAUCACCUCUUGUUUGAGAUGUGGAUUUUCAUUCUGCCCUUGCUGCGUAAAACCAGUGAAUCAUUUCAGGCAGAAGUUAAGGGUCUAACCCAUGACUUAGGCACCGAAGGACCAAGCCUCCCAACAUCCUCUUCCUGGCCACUCUGUGUGGUGACAUCUUGGAUAUCAGGAAAAAGUUUUCCACCCAGAAGGUGGUUGAGCACCGUUAACAGGCUCCCCAGGGAAGGGGUCGCAGCACCAAGUCUGUCUGAGUUCAAGAAGUGUCUGGACAACAAUCUCAGGCCUAUGGUGGGAUUCCUGGCGUGUCCUGUAUUUGGGCAGGAGUUGAACUCAAUGAUCAUGAUGGCUCCCUUCCAACUCAGCAUAUUCUAUGAUUCUAAACAAAAUGAGUCUCAGCUAAACUCGUUGCACACAUCCAUUACGUGGGAAAAGCAUCAGGAUUUCUGUAAAUCCAGCGUGGGAAUUUAUUCAUCGCAGCCUCCAGCAACAAUGAAUUACCCUGAUGACUGGUGUAAUUUGGAAGCAUACACAGCCAUAAUGAGAAAGUACCGUGGUUUCCUUUAAAGCAAUAUAGUGGUUAUUGCUGAUAGUUACUGCCUUUGUGAAGUAUUAACGCGUGGUUGUAGUACAGUUGUGCAGUGAAAUUACAGGGGCCUGCAGAAUGUUACUUAGCAACACUUGCUAACGGUGAGAUGGUAAUGAAGGAAUGGAGGAAAAGAAAUACAGAGAGUAUUUGAAUCAUAAAAUAAACUGUGGUGUGAUGUGAGCAAGCUGUUCUGAAGAUAAUGAUGUUGUCUAUUUCUCUUCUUGCCAUGUGGAUAGGGUAGAAGAACUUAAGACCUGAUUUGAAGCAACAUAUACGAAAUAUCUAAGUGAUAGAAACAACACUACAUUAUGUUCAUUUUUUAUCAUUGCUGCCUGGGAGAAGUCUCAGAAUUGUUGGUCUUUUGAAGAUGCUCUGUCAUUCCAAACCCAUCCUGAGUCACUG